UACGAAGGGGGCUAGCGUUGCUCGGAAUCACUGGGCGUAAAGGGUGCGUAGGCGGGUUUUAAGUCAGAGGUGAAAUCCUGGAGCUCAACUCCAGAACUGCCUUUGAUACUGAAAGUCUUGAGUAUGGGAGAGGUGAGUGGAACUGCGAGUGUAGAGGUGAAAUUCGUAGAUAUUCGGCAAGAACACCAGUGGCGAAGGCGGCUCACUGGCCCAUAACUGACGCUGAGGCACGAAAGCGUGGGGAGCAAACAG
rnacentral:rRNA from 1 species